rnacentral:lncRNA from 1 species
AGGUCAGAUAUCAUUAAAAGUAAACCCCUUAGACGGGACUGCAGUUUACGGAGAUGUGUCCUACACCAUAGAGUGUACAAUAACUGGAACUCAAGCUAAAGCAUGGUCUUGGUCAAUCACUGGUAGUACAACAACGACACUAUCUAGCGGAAGCAAAUACAGCAUAGUAAUAUAUCCAAAUGCUACGGAUUUAACUAUAAAUAGCAUUAUAGAGAAGGACGAACAGGAGUAUUUCUGUCAAGCGACAAUUGGUGUAGGGUUAAAAUUUCAGACAAUGUCAAGGCUUAUUGUCAAUGGAGGUCAGUUCUAGUCAGGUGUAUCUCACGGUGUAAAUGUGCUAUAUUUCUAAUUAAGUUAAUGUAAUAAAAUCUGAUCUUUUCAAUAUUUAGACUGUUUAGCAAUAAUUGUACAAACAGCUUUACUUAUGAAGUAUCAUUCAUGAACAGAUAAACUUCAUAUUGAAAUCCAUUACAAGACUUCGUGAAGAUACUUUUAGUAUACGGUUAGAUGUUUACUGCAAAAAAUGUUUUUAAAGGUUAUUUGAACGGCUUUCCUAUCUGUCCCUUAACGACAUUUUCUUUUCUGAUGACCAAAGUUUUUAAAGGUUAUUUGAACGGCUUUCCUAUCUGUCCCUUAACGACGUUUUCUUUUCUGAUGACCAAAGUUAGUGUAUAUGACCAAAUAUUAAGUCAGUAGUUUACCAGAUUAGAUAUCAUAUAUAGAACCUGGUCCACUGUCUUCGCCCUGAUUUGUGAUAGAGCUCGUGAUAUAUUUCCAGUUUGAAUCCCGAAGACAGCCAUAUUGUGAAUAUAUUGUUUAAUUUUAAUACCGUGUUAUCUUGAUUUAUAUUCAAUUUCAUAAAUGCAUCUGUGACGUCACUUUAUGGCGUUUGAUACAGUCGUUGGCUUUUUAACUAUUUUGAUCUGAGCGUCACUGAUGAGUCUUAUGUAGACGAAACGCGCGUCUGGCGUAUAAAAUUAUAAUUCCUGGUACUUUGAUAACUAUUUACACCACUGGGUCGAUGCCACUGCUGGUGGACGUUUCGUCCCCGAGGGUAUCACCAGCCCAGUAGUCAGCACUUCGGUGUUGACAUGAAUAUCAAUUAUAUGGUCAUUUUUAUAAACUUUCUGUUUACAAAACUUUGAAUUUUCGAAAUACUAAGGAUUUUCUUACCCCAGGAGUAGAUUACCUUAGCCGUAUUUGGCACAACUUUUUGGAAUUUUGGUUCUCAAUGCUCUUCAACUUUGUAUUUAUUUGGCUUUUUAACUAUUUUGAUCUGAGCGUCACUGAUGAGUCUUAUGUAGACGAAACGCGCGUCUGGCGUAUAAAAUUAUAAUCCUGGUACUUUUGAUAACUAUUUACACCACUGGGUCGAUGCAACUGCUGGUGGACGUUUCGUCCCCGAGGGUAUCACCAGCCCAGUAGUCAGCACUUCGGUGUUGACAUGAAUAUCAAUUAAAUGGUCAUUUUUAUAAAUUUUCUGUUUACAAAACGUUGAAUUUUUCAAAAUACUAAGGAUUUUCUUACCCCAGGAGUAGAUUACCUUAGCCGUAUUUGGCACAACUUUUUGGAAUUUUGGUUCUCAAUGCUCUUCAACUUUGUAUUUAUUUGGCUUUUUACUAUUUGAUCUGAGCGUCACUGAUGAGUCUUAUGUAGACGAAACGCGCGUCUGGCGUAUAAAAUUAUAAUCCUGGUACUUUUGAUAACUAUUGAUGGACAGUUCGUGGCUCUGUUGUCCUAGAUUGCCUUACGUGUUCAUUGGUUUUCUGUGGUUGGCAUGUCGAAAUGUACAAUUAUAUUCUUUAUUUGUAUGUUUCUCUGUCCAAAAUGUUGUUUUUUUCAUUUACAAAAAAAAUGUACUUGCAUGACAUAUUGUCAUUUUAGAGGUAUAUUUAACAUUGCCAUGAAAGCGCGAGAAUUGGCUCCACACAAAUCCAGGUUAAAUCCAGCGGGUCUUUUUUUUUGUUGUUAAAAUGUCCUGUACCAAGUCAGGAAAAUGGUAGUUGUAAUCUUAUAGUUCGAUUCUGUGUUUGUUGUAUUUUCGUUUGUUUUUUGUUGUAAUUCAGUGUUUCUGUUGUUUCGUGGUUUUCCUCUUUCAAAACUUUAAGGAAUUUUUGGCUCUUAAUGCUCUUCAACUUUGAACUUAGAUUGGCCGUUUUACCUUAAUAUGAUUCGAUUGGCACACAUACAAAAUCUUAAUCCUGGUAACAAUGAUGUAUUUAUUUUCUACAGAUGUUGCCGUUUGUUUUGGGUUUUUAUUUGGCAAUUUAGUUUUUCUGUUGUUUCGUUGUUUUCUUCUUUCAAACUUUUUAGAAACUUUAGGCUAUAACUGCUCUUCAAAUUUGUACUGAGAUUAGCUUUUUUGAACUUAUUUUGAUUCGAUUGGCACACAUAUAAAUUCUUAAUCCUGGUAACAAUGAUGUUUUUAUUUUCUAUAUAUGUUGCCGUGUGUUUUGGGUUCAUUUGCACUUCAGAGUUUCUGUUGUUCCGUUGUUUUCGCCUUAUAGUUUAUGAGUUCCCUUCGCUUUUAGAUUGUUACCCGGAUUUGUUUUGUCUCAAUCGAUUUAUGACUUUUGAAAAGCGGUAAACAUACUGUUGCCUAUUUAUCAAAAUACUUACUACAUAAGAACUUUUCUUAUAUUCACAAUUAUGAAAUUUUUGUUACCAAAGACAGAGUCACAAAUACUAACAUCAAUUACAAAAAAAGAAGAAUGCUCUGAGUCCUUGUUGUACAUGCACAAUGAUAUAUAAAUAUCUCAAUGAAAUCGUCACUUACAAUACACGGAAGUCGUUAUGUUUAAUAAAGAGUUUGAUUUUCGUUCUUCUUAAUCGAGUGUAUGUGUAUAUAUUACAUGUAAAUACAUAUUUAAAAAUUUUAAAUUGGCUAAAACAAUUUAUGCAUCAUGCAAUGUUUAUAUUAGUAUUUAAUAGGUCACGUUUCACCGGCUGAUUUCAUUUCAAAUUUAAUGUUAUGCUAUUUUAAAUUAAACAUUUAACGAUGAGCAGCAAAUUAAAUAUUUUAAUUCCACCAUUUUAAAACUUUCAAAAUUAUCUAAAAUUAAAGUUCUGUAAGAUUCUCUUUUGGUCAUUGAUUUAGAGACUUUAGUUGAAAAGAUUUGUUGCCAGCUUUAAAUAUUAUCUUUUAUAUUGAAGAUUAGAUAUAUUCUAUAUUUAUCUUUGAUUUUUUUAUCUUUAGGCCUUAUAACUAACAAGUACUUGAAACAAAAAUAUCUAUGCGAUAUAUAUGUUGUGUACAAGUUGACAUUUUAUACAAAUGAUAAUUAUUGAAAAAAAGUUCUAUGUUGUGUUUGGAUGACUUUUUAAGACAAAAUCCAUUAAAGGGUUUAUUUACGGAAAUAAUAAUACCAUAAGUACGUCUGAAUCAGUGACGACAAAUUGUAUCAAUAGGAUCACCAGCAGGUGAUGGUGAUACAAGGCUGAAAAACAUACUCUGUAUAUAUAACUCAUCCAAACAUGUACAUAUGCGUAGGCAAGUUGUUUGUUCUUCCCCGGCCUGGAUUCGAACUCAAGCUACUGAGAUAUCAAGGUACCAAAUCGCCUUGCUCAAUGCCAACGAGCUGGACCACUCGAUCACCUAGGCUCUACAAAAAUAAAGUUUUCGGGUGUUACCUGUCCUCGUCAGUUUAAAUCAAGUGUCGUAACACAGGUUUCAUAAUAUUUAAGCUAGGCAUUCAGAUAGAAUUUUUACAGGUGAGAUGAAUUUUCUAUCGUAAAGGAUCUUACAAAAAAAGACAAGAUGGAGUCUCGGAAAAGCUCAUAUUAUAAGUACGUCUAAACCAAUGACAACUCUGCGGUGUAUUGCCUAAAAAUACAUUCUGUACAUUUAAUUCGACUAAACAUCAGCCCAACAAUUUUAGAUCUGUAAAUUUGCAAAAGCAAAUUGUUUGUUCUUCCCUGACCUGGAUUCGAACUCGUGACUUUUGCCCGACGCGCUUGAAUAGACCUAAUGUUGUUAAAUUGUUGAUUUUUAUGCUUUUCUGUAAUGCAUUAACUAUCAAGCAUUCGUUCUUGAAAAAAAUCUUCUUCACGUGGGUUUUUUAACGAAUUUUAGUAUAGUUUUUGCCUGUAUUGGUUUUUACUUUCGUUUUAACAUGAAUGAUAUUGCGCAUGUGUCCUUAUCUUUUCAGGUCUCUUAACUGUUAGUAUUUUUCCUGCUAAGGCUGAUGUUCUCCAGGGACAAUCUCAAUUAAUCUCCUGUAUCAUAACCGGGGAACCAGUAGCCUCAGACAUAAGUUGGUAUUUUACACCAACUGGUUCUGAGCAACGGCAAUUAAUAUACACAGGCAAUACAGCCAAGUAUUCUGGUGGUAACACUCAGAA